rnacentral:rRNA from 1 species
AUUGAACGCUGGCGGCAGGCCUAAUACAUGCAAGUCGAGCGCAGCGGGGACGGGUGAGUAACACGUGGAUAAACUCCUAUAAGACUGGGAUAACUUCGGGAAACCGGAGCUAAACCGGAUAAUUAUAGAUGGAUCCGCGCUGCAUUAGCUAGUUGGUAAGGUAAAGGAUUACAAGGGAAAAGAUGCAUAGCCGACCUGAGAGUGUGAUCGGCCACACUGGAACUGAGACACGUUCCAGACUCCUACGGGAGGCAGCAGUAGGGAAUCUUCCGCAAUGGGCGAAAGCCUGACGGAGCAACGCCGCGUGAGUGAUGAAGGUCUUCGGAUCGUAAAACUCUGUUAUUAGGGAAGCGGUACCUAAUCAGAAAGCCACGGCUAACUACGUGCCAGCAGCCGCGGUAAUUC